rnacentral:rRNA from 1 species
UACGUAGGGGGCAAGCGUUGUCCGGAUUUAUUGGGCGUAAAGAGCGUGUAGGCGGUUUGGUAGGUCCGCUGUGAAAACUCGAGGCUCAACCUCGAGACGCCGGUGGAAACCAUCAGACUAGAGUCCGGAAGAGGAGAGUGGAAUUCCUGGUGUAGCGGUGAAAUGCGCAGAUAUCAGGAAGAACACCCGUGGCUUAGGCGGCUCUCUAGUACGGUACUGACGCUGAGACGCGAAAGCGUGGGGAGCGAACAGG